rnacentral:rRNA from 1 species
UACGGAGGGUGCAAGCGUUAAUCGGAAUUACUGGGCGUAAAGCGUGCGCAGGCGGUUUGUUAAGUCCGUUGUGAAAGCCCCGAGCUCAACUUGGGAAUUGCAGUGGAUACUGGCAGGCUGGAGUACGGUAGAGGAAGGUGGAAUUCCCGGUGUAGCAGUGAAAUGCGUAGAGAUCGGGAGGAACACCAGUGGCGAAGGCGGCCUUCUGGACCAGUACUGACGCUCAUGCACGAAAGCGUGGGGAGCGAACAGG